GGGACGCUCAUCUUGAUCAAACGAAUCUAGGAGCCUUUGAAUUUUUAUAUAUCUUAGAAACUGAGUAAAAGAAGAAAAAAUUGUGUCAGCCUGAGCUUCAUAGCAAGAUAAGUGAAACUGAGAGUUACCUGGGCUGGUUGCGUGGGAAGCCAGGGCUAAGAACCACUGAGGAGUUCAUCUAGGAUAUUCCAUUCUCCCAUCUCCCACUCGGACACCCUCUCCCUCACUAUUCUUUAUCUUCUGUGGCCGUUUGAAAGGAUGCCAGGCUUGAGCUGCAAGAUUCUUUGGAAAUUCCUCAAGAAGUUAACUAUAUUUUCCUGUUAUAUGUCCAAACAAACCGAAAACAGGAACUCAGACACAAACCUGCACAUGAAAUGAUUAUAGUAUUUACCCUGUCCAAAAAAAAAAAAAAAAAAAAAAAAACCCAAACCAUUCGCACAAUACCAAGAAACCAGCAGAAGCUUCAAAACAUCAAAACUCGUUGCUUCUGUUACAAUGGGAGCUCAGAACGGGACGUUGAAACAAUGAAGUCAGGGGCAAGGAUCAAGAUCACUAAGGUCUAUCACAAUAAACUUGAAGACAGAGGCAGGCUUUUAUGAGGAACAAAAACUUUCUCUAACAGGACAUGAAAGAAAAACAGAACAAAGAAAGAAAAUGCAGCCUUUAAAGGAAAAGAUACAGGCAACCAAUGGCCGAUGUAUUCUCCAGGCAUGACCCACCCCCACCAAAGAUGAGUCAAUCUAAAGGGGUCAGCCUUGAACACGUGUACAUAAGAGCAACACGAAAUGUACUCAGCAGUGUGUGUGAGUGUUGUACAUAUGUAUAUAUUUCUACCAAUAAUUAAGUGGUCAUGACUUUGAGAGAGAGAGUGGGGACAUGGAAGGAGUUGGAGGGGGAUGAGGGAAGGUUGAGAAUAAUGUAAAUAUAAUACUUUGAAAGAAAUACUAGAAAAUUACAUUUAAAAAUUCUAUAAAUGUUACCUGAAAACAAACAUUUUGAGACUCAUUACCCCACAAAGGAGCCUAUAUUCCACAUAUAACAAUAAAGUCAUAUUCAUUUUUAUCUUACAAAUAUGACAGAGAAUAGAAAACUUGAUUUGUGCAGUCAACAGAAAAGCCAUAAGGCCAGUCAUAGCUGAAUUCCAACCAAGUCAUUUAUUUCAAUAAUUACUGGCGUUGUUUGUUAGAACUUGUGUUGAGGUUAUUUUCAUUAAAUGAUGUUGAAUGACUUCUCCACAGUCAUGACCCUAUAGUAUUUACUGAGGAUCAAGUAGAACAUACAACAAACACUAGAAA
rnacentral:lncRNA from 1 species